AAACUUUCAACAACGGAUCUCUUGGUUCUC
rnacentral:ncRNA from 7 species